UACGUGGGUGGCGAGCGUUGUCCGGAUUUACUGGGCGUAAAGGGAGCGUAGGCGGACUUUUAAGUGAGAUGUGAAAUACUCGGGCUCAACUUGAGUGCUGCAUUUCAAACUGGAAGUCUAGAGUGCAGGAGAGAAGAAUGGAAUUCCUAGUGUAGCGGUGAAAUGCGUAGAGAUUAGGAAGAACACCAGUGGCGAAGGCGAUUCUCUGGACUGUAACUGACGCUGAGGCUCGAAAGCGUGGGGAGCAAACAGG
rnacentral:rRNA from 1 species